AUGUGACCUCAAAUCAGGUAGGAUUACCCGCUGAACUUAA
rnacentral:rRNA from 1 species